ACAGUGGCGGGAGAACUUAUCAAAAUCCACCACGGUCAGGAGCAGGGUCCUCCUCUGGGCCUCCAGGAAGGGGAUCUCGAAGGUGUAGCGCUCCUCAAACACGGGCUUCUGGGUCUUGCGUUUGACCCCGGUCUGCUUUGAGUUCUUCUGGUCUGGCAGGAGACAGAUCUUGACGUAGGGGUUGGAGUGCGCCAUGUCCUGGCGCGAGCCAUCGUGGGAGAUGGGAGGUGGCAGGUCCCUGGCCUCGAUCACGCGCACGGUGAGGUGGUUGUGCAGCAGGUCGUACUGAGUGCUGAAGUGCAGCAUGCCCAGCUGGUACUUGGACAGGAUCUCCUCGUCUGUCAGAGAGUCCACAUCGUCGCUGUUGGAGUCGAGGGAGUACAGGUGGGGUUCGAACUUCCUGAAAUAGUCGUCGGGGUUAUAGGUCCGUCUGAGCACCGAAGGUUGGAUGGGCUCCUUCUUGGCGCUGAGAACGCCAAACUCGAUGGGUUUAAUAUCGAUGAGUGGAGAGCUGGGACGUCUUGACUCAAGACCUGAGAGCCACCAGAAAUAACAAUGAAGACAGCCACAUACGGGGCAGACCUGGGCCACUUUGCAGGAAAGGUUGGACACCAAUGAUCUCCACCUGAAUGGAUUUGUUUCAUGCAUUUGAAGCUUUUCCCUCUGUCUGGUGAAUUUCAGACAUCGGUUCACACAGAGCAGAGAUACUUUUGUGGAGCAGAAGGAGGUUGGGAGCCUCUGGGUGUUUGUCCUCCUUUUUCCUCCUCACCCAAAUCAUGCUGUUUGGUCAAACACAUACGCCACACAACAGAGUGGACAAAUUGGGUGGUCAAAUUUGAUGGCCACACAUACAUUUUGUUUAGGCUUGAAAGUAAGAAUGUUUCACAUAAAAAAACCCAGAUUGCCAAUAUCUCUUUACAAAGAUCAGACAAUACGGAGCCCCCAAUCCCAUACAGCUACCAUUGGCCAGAGCUGAGUAGCAGACACCCUGGCCCCCUUUCAAUGGGGCAUUUGCUUUUCAAUUGACCGAAGUCCCCACCCUGCCCUAGUAACUCUCCAGACAGAGCGGCAGCUGCCAUUUGUCACUGCACUCAGGCAAUGUUUAUCUCUAUGCAACCUCUGCACUUGGCCACUGAUGCAACCCGCCUAGCUCCCAAAGUCACCAGAAUUGACAAACCCUGCUAUAUAAUAUAGCCACACUCAUCUUUCAGAAUCUGAAAUGAUAUACACUGACAAUGUUAAUCAAUUCAGCCAAUUCAAUCAAACUUAAAAUUAAUAAAGCAAAAAUCAAUCAAAA
ensembl:lncRNA novel transcript, antisense to SYT17